CCCCGCUGCCAAAAGUGCUGUUUGUGCAGGUAGCAGUCAUCCACCUACUGCAAAACCAGCACUUCAGGCAGAGAGGA